AUAGAAAUUAACUGCAAGAGCCUGUAGAGAGGGAUAAAGUCUACUGAGAGGAACACCACUGCCUUCCUUUUCACAUUUGACAAACUAACGCACCAAAAUUAACCAGAGUUUUGUUAGGUAGCUUUAAAUUUGAGCUUGGGGCUUGUGUCAGACUGGUCUAUCAUUGUAUCUAUUCCAGAGCAAGAUUUCUACUGCAAACUAAAUAAAAAUUAAAUUGCAUUAAAAAAAACAUUUGUUUACUAGCUUAAAACAACAACACAUAUAACAAAUAACACGUUUUCUAAUUGUAACACAAUUUUAAGUUAAAGUUAAGCAUCAGGGCCAUAAUUUGUAUUUUUCAUUAGUAACAGCUUAUGUUUUGUAGCUCAACUUCUGACAGUUUUGGAUGCUGACCACUGCAUUGUAUUUCAUAUCAUAUCAGCUGCAUAUGAAGAUGCAUAAAUUGGAUUGACAUUAAACAUCUUGUUCAAAGAUUCCUCUCCUGAUUUUCUUACUGGAAUCUGCUCCAUAUUUAGCCACCUCAACCAGCUAAACCUUAAAUGUAGUGAAGCUAACUACAACCAGAACAUCAAUCUUAUCGCUUUGACAUGUACUGUAUGACUUUUAUUUGAAUGAAUAAUACUAUAACAUCUUACAAUGUUGAUACUUCUUUUUAGUUCCUGCUUAGAACUUCUCGUAAAGGACAAUGCUGUUAAUAAACUUGCAGUAAAGCUGA